rnacentral:rRNA from 1 species
CCUACGGGAGGCAGCAGUGGGGAAUAUUGCACAAUGGGGGAAACCCUGAUGCAGCGACGCCGCGUGAGUGAAGAAGUAUCUCGGUACGUAAAGCUCUAUCAGCAGGGAAGAAAAUGACGGUACCUGACUAAGAAGCCCCGGCUAACUACGUGCCAGCAGCCGCGGUAAUACGUAGGGGGCAAGCGUUAUCCGGAUUUACUGGGUGAAAAGGGAGCGGAGACGGCGGCGCAAGUCUGGGGUGAAAUGCCGGGGCCCAACCCGGGAACUGCUUUGGAAACUGGGCAGCACGAGUGCUGGAGAGGGAGGGAGAUUUCCAGGUGUGGGGGUGAAAUGCG